rnacentral:lncRNA from 1 species
UGUGCUUGGAAGAGGGAGCUGUGAGCCUGGGCCUGCUCACUGGCCUUCAAGGAACAGCUGGCAUGGAUGAAGGCAGGGAGAGCAGGACACUGUGGAAUGGUGGGGUGGGCUGUGCCUACUGAGGGGAGAAAAAUGAAGUCUCAAACGGGGCCCAAAGCUGUUCAAGGGGCAGCAGCAAGCUUAGGAGGAGCUCACAGAUUAGCCCACUGAGAAGGCAGAAGGUGGAAACACCCCAGGGCAGGAAGAGCACAGCUGGAACUGUGGCCCCACUGCCGUCCCUACAAUCCCCGAGGCAGCCCCUGGACCUGCAGGCUGGCCGAAGAGCCGCCAGAUCUCCAACCAACCGCCAACCUUCUCUGCACUUCCCAGACCCUGCUGGCUCUGCUAACACCAGCGGAGCUAAAUGCAAACCAUGCUGCCCGGCAUGUAGAGAUUACUUGCAGA